rnacentral:rRNA from 1 species
GGUUAAGUUAGAAAGGGCGCACGGUGGAUGCCUUGACACUAGGAGUCGAUGAAGGACGGGACUAACGCCGAUAUGCUUCGGGGAGCUGUAAGUAAGCUUUGAUCCGAAGAUUUCCGAAUGGGGAAACCCACCAUACGUAAUGGUAUGGUAUCCUUAUCUGAAUACAUAGGAUAAGGAAGACAGACCCAGGGAACUGAAACAUCUAAGUACCUGGAGGAAGAGAAAGCAAAUGCGAUUUCCUGAGUAGCGGCGAGCGAAACGGAACAUAGCCCAAACCAAGAGGCUUGCCUCUUGGGGUUGUAGGACAUUCUAUACGGAGUUACAAAGGAACGAGGUAGACGAAGCGACCUGGAAAGGUCCGUCGUAGAGGGUAACAACCCCGUAGUCGAAACUUCGUUCUCUCUUGAAUGUAUCCUGAGUACGGCGGAACACGUGAAAUUCCGUCGGAAUCUGGGAGGACCAUCUCCCAAGGCUAAAUACUCCCUAGUGAUCGAUAGUGAACCAGUACCGUGAGGGAAAGGUGAAAAGCACCCCGGAAGGGGAGUGAAAGAGAUCCUGAAACCGUGUGCCUACAAAUAGUCAGAGCCCGUUAACGGGUGAUGGCGUGCCUUUUGUAGAAUGAACCGGCGAGUUACGAUCCCGUGCGAGGUUAAGCUGAAGAGGCGGAGCCGCAGCGAAAGCGAGUCUGAAUAGGGCGUUUAGUACGUGGUCGUAGACCCGAAACCAGGCGAUCUACCCAUGUCCAGGGUGAAGUUCAGGUAACACUGAAUGGAGGCCCGAACCCACGCACGUUGAAAAGUGCGGGGAUGAGGUGUGGGUAGCGGAGAAAUUCCAAUCGAACCUGGAGAUAGCUGGUUCUCCCCGAAAUAGCUUUAGGGCUAGCCUUAAGUGUAAGAGUCUUGGAGGUAGAGCACUGAUUGGACUAGGGGUCCUCAUCGGAUUACCGAAUUCAGUCAAACUCCGAAUGCCAAUGACUUAUCCUUAGGAGUCAGACUGCGAGUGAUAAGAUUCGUAGUCAAAAGGGAAACAGCCCAGACCGCCAGCUAAGGUCCCAAAGUGUGUAUUAAGUGGAAAAGGAUGUGGAGUUGCUUAGACAACUAGGAUGUUGGCUUAGAAGCAGCCACCAUUUAAAGAGUGCGUAAUAGCUCACUAGUCGAGUGACUCUGCGCCGAAAAUGUACCGGGGCUAAAUACACCACCGAAGCUGCGGAUUGAUACCGAAUGGUAUCAGUGGUAGGGGAGCGUUCUAAGGACAGUGAAGUCAGACCGGAAGGACUGGUGGAGUGCUUAGAAGUGAGAAUGCCGGUAUGAGUAGCGAAAGACGGGUGAGAAUCCCGUCCACCGAAUGCCUAAGGUUUCCUGAGGAAGGCUCGUCCGCUCAGGGUUAGUCAGGACCUAAGCCGAGGCCGACAGGCGUAGGCGAUGGACAACAGGUUGAUAUUCCUGUACCACCUCUUUAUCGUUUGAGCAAUGGAGGGACGCAGAAGGAUAGAAGAAGCGUGCGAUUGGUUGUGCACGUCCAAGCAGUUAGGCUGAUAAGUAGGCAAAUCCGCUUAUCGUGAAGGCUGAGCUGUGAUGGGAAGCUCCUUAUGGAGCGAAGUCUUUGAUUCCCCGCUGCCAAGAAAAGCUUCUAGCGAGAUAAAAGGUGCCUGUACCGCAAACCGACACAGGUAGGCGAGGAGAGAAUCCUAAGGUGUGCGAGAGAACUCUGGUUAAGGAACUCGGCAAAAUGACCCCGUAACUUCGGGAGAAGGGGUGCUUUCUUAACGGAAAGCCGCAGUGAAUAGGCCCAAGCGACUGUUUAGCAAAAACACAGCUCUCUGCGAAGCCGUAAGGCGAAGUAUAGGGGUGACACCUGCCCGGUGCUGGAAGGUUAAGGAGAGGGGUUAGCGUAAGCGAAGCUCUGAACUGAAGCCCCAGUAAACGGCGGCCGUAACUAUAACGGUCCUAAGGUAGCGAAAUUCCUUGUCGGGUAAGUUCCGACCCGCACGAAAGGUGUAACGAUUUGGGCACUGUCUCAACCAGAGACUCGGUGAAAUUAUAGUACCUGUGAAGAUGCAGGUUACCCGCGACAGGACGGAAAGACCCCGUGGAGCUUUACUGUAGCCUGAUAUUGAAUUUUGGUACAGUUUGUACAGGAUAGGCGGGAGCCUUUGAAACCGGAGCGCUAGCUUCGGUGGAGGCGCUGGUGGGAUACCGCCCUGACUGUAUUGAAAUUCUAACCUACGGGUCUUAUCGACCCGGGAGACAGUGUCAGGUGGGCAGUUUGACUGGGGCGGUCGCCUCCUAAAGUGUAACGGAGGCGCCCAAAGGUUCCCUCAGAAUGGUUGGAAAUCAUUCGUAGAGUGCAAAGGCAUAAGGGAGCUUGACUGCGAGACCUACAAGUCGAGCAGGGACGAAAGUCGGGCUUAGUGAUCCGGUGGUUCCGCAUGGAAGGGCCAUCGCUCAACGGAUAAAAGCUACCCCGGGGAUAACAGGCUUAUCUCCCCAAGAGUCCACAUCGACGGGGAGGUUUGGCACCUCGAUGUCGGCUCAUCGCAUCCUGGGGCUGUAGUCGGUCCCAAGGGUUGGGCUGUUCGCCCAUUAAAGCGGUACGCGAGCUGGGUUCAGAACGUCGUGAGACAGUUCGGUCCCUAUCCGUCGUGGGCGUAGGAAAUUUGAGAGGAGCUGUCCUUAGUACGAGAGGACCGGGAUGGACGCACCGCUGGUGUACCAGUUGUUCUGCCAAGGGCAUAGCUGGGUAGCUAUGUGCGGAAGGGAUAAGUGCUGAAAGCAUCUAAGCAUGAAGCCCCCCUCAAGAUGAGAUUUCCCAUAGCGUAAGCUAGUAAGAUCCCUGAAAGAUGAUCAGGUUGAUAGGUUCGAGGUGGAAGCAUGGUGACAUGUGGAGCUGACGAAUACUAAUAGAUCGAGGACUUAACCAU